UACGGAGGGUGCAAGCGUUAAUCGGAAUUACUGGGCGUAAAGCGUGCGUAGGCGGUUCGUUAAGUCUGCUGUGAAAGCCCCGGGCUCAACCUGGGAAUGGCAGUGGAUACUGGCGAGCUAGAGUGUGAUAGAGGAUGGUGGAAUUCCCGGUGUAGCGGUGAAAUGCGUAGAGAUCGGGAGGAACAUCAGUGGCGAAGGCGGCCAUCUGGGACAACACUGACGCUGAGGCACGAAAGCGUGGGGAGCAAACAGG
rnacentral:rRNA from 1 species